rnacentral:rRNA from 1 species
ACCUGGUAUGAAUGGUUGGACAAAGGAAAAGCUGUCUUUGUAAUAAAAUUGAAAUUUACAUUUAAGUGAAAAGGCUUAAAUAAUCUAAAGGGACGAUAAGACCCUAUAAAGCUUCAUAGAUAAAUUAAAUUUGAUUAAUUUAGUUGAUAAAAAUUAAAUUUAACUAUUUUAUUUUGUUGGGGUGAUGUGAAUAUAAUUUAAAAUUAACUGUUUAAAAAGGAUUCUAUAUAAUAGAGUUAUUAAUAUUAAUGAUCCUUAGUAAAGAUUAAAAGACUAAGUUACUUUAGGGGUAACAGCGUUAUUUCUUUUGAGAGUUCAUAUCGAAAAAGAAGAUUGCGACCUCGAUGUUGAAUUAAAAUAUCUAUAUA